GAAUUAGCGUACUUAACGUAAUGUGAAUUCGACAGAAUUCAAGGUGAAGUCAUCGAAUCUUUGAACGCACCUUGCACCUUCCAGUCCUCUGGAAGGUAUGCCCGGUUGAGUAUUAUGAUCACCUCAAACCUAUGAUUUUCUGAUUGCAAAGACCAAUGCUCUGACGAAAGCACUCAGUGGGGUGCUAGUAGUUGCUGCUUGGUUUGGAAGAUCUUGGGUCUUGGACUUGAGCUCUGUUGGUUCCCUCCGGAUCAACUUGCUUGAAAUGUAUUAGCUGGCGACCUGCCUUCAAUGGUUACCACUCGGCGUAGUAAGUCUUAUUCGUCGAGGACACCUUGUACCUUCAUCGGAACAGGUGGCCAUUGUGCUGUGUCUUGAUAGCCGCUUCUAACCGUCUCUGGACAAUAUAACGAACUCUUUAAUCUCAACUCGGGUAGGACUACCCGCUGAACUUAAGCAUAUCAAUAAGCGGAGGAAAAAGAAAACUAAC
rnacentral:rRNA from 1 species